rnacentral:rRNA from 2 species
GAAGAGUUUGAUCAUGGCUCAGAUUGAACGCUGGCGGCAGGCCUAACACAUGCAAGUCGAACGGUAACAGGAAGCAGCUUGCUGCUUCGCUGACGAGUGGCGGACGGGUGAGUAAUGUCUGGGAAACUGCCUGAUGGAGGGGGAUAACUACUGGAAACGGUGGCUAAUACCGCAUAACGUCGCAAGACCAAAGAGGGGGACCUUCGGGCCUCUUGCCAUCAGAUGUGCCCAGAUGGGAUUAGCUUGUUGGUGAGGUAACGGCUCACCAAGGCGACGAUCCCUAGCUGGUCUGAGAGGAUGACCAGCCACACUGGAACUGAGACACGGUCCAGACUCCUACGGGAGGCAGCAGUGGGGAAUAUUGCACAAUGGGCGCAAGCCUGAUGCAGCCAUGCCGCGUGUAUGAAGAAGGCCUUCGGGUUGUAAAGUACUU